GUGAGGAAUAUUGCGCAAUGGAGGCAACUCUGACGCAGCCAUGCCGCGUGCAGGAAGAAGGCGCUACGCGUUGUAAACUGCUUUUAACCGGGAAGAAACCCCAGGACGUGUCCUGGGUUGACGGUACCGGAGGAAUAAGCACCGGCUAACUUCGUGCCAGCAGCCGCGGUAAUACGAAGGGUGCAAGCGUUAUCCGGAUUCAUUGGGCUUAACGGGUGCGUAGGCAGAGCGUUAAUUCAGUGGUGAAAUCCUGCAGCUUAACUGUAGACUUGCCAUUGAUACUGGCGCUCUUGAGUGCGCUUGAAGUGGACGGAAUGUGCCGUGUAGCGGUGAAAUGCUUAGAUAUGGCACAGAACACCAAUUGCGAAGGCAGCUCACUAAGGCGAUACUGACGCUGAGGCACGAAAGCGUGGGGAUCGAACAGGAUUAGAAACCCGGGUAGUCC
rnacentral:rRNA from 1 species